GCUUACGGCCAUACCAACCCUGGCUAUGGCCCGAUCUUGUCUGAUCUCGGAAGCUAAGCAGGUUUGGGCUUGGUUAGUACUUGGAUGGGAGACCACCUGGGAAUACCAGGUGCUGUAAGCU
rnacentral:rRNA from 1 species